rnacentral:lncRNA from 1 species
UAAAAACACACACCUUCGUUGUAUUUGCACAAAUGUAUAAUAGUUGUACAUAAUCACUCCAGAAAUUUAAAGACACAAAAGCGACGCACGCACACACACACACACAUAUAUAUAUAUAUUAACCAUAAUCAUUUUACAUGUCAACAACCAGGAGCUUACAGAAGUAUCCUACACUUCACAAAGUGUCAUCUAACUAGGAUUGUCACACACACUAUAAAUCAUGCAAGUCACUGAUCCAAGAGAUCACAACCAUCGGCAUGUGCAUGGCCAAAAAGAGGAGUGGCGGGUUGCACUUAAUUAAGUAUGCAUAUCCUAGUAACAAGCAUUGGCUUCCAAUUUAUCGACACAAAAAGUUUAUGGCACUUCCUUCACAACCGCAAGAGACAUCUCAAAAAGGAGGUAGUUCGUCACUAGGCGGAGAGAAAUUUCUAGUUUGCAUCAAAAGAGCCAGCAAACAUUCCAUCUUCUGCUCCAUGCGAUGUAUUAUUCAUAUUUUCAGCACCAUUAGUUGAUUCACCUGUGGAGGGCUGCAGAAAUGUCUUUUUCAGAAUCUUGAUAUAUCAAAUCAUAAAUAAUGACUACAAAAAUUCUUAGUUGAUUCAACAGCAAGAUAGAUGUUAAACUAUGUAGCAAUGAUUGGCGUGCAUUGUUAUAUAUAAUUUUGCAUCACAAAGUUUGCCAUCAAACAACACAAUGCUUAUAAUGAAUGGAAAGAUUUACCCUAUGUAGCAAUUGAACCAUGGCUGAGAAAACCCUUUUGUUUGUAUUUUUUCUUACAAUAUACUUAACAUAUUCUAAUAAAGAUGGUAAGCACCACAUCACUAAAAUGUCCUGGACUGCUCUAGCUUAAUGUACAUUGAUAGAAAAGGCUCAAGCUACUACAAAUACCACAAAUGCCUCCUUAUUUUCAAUUAAGGACCUAGAGAAGAACACAUAGCAGAGGUAGUACCAUAGCUUCAAGGCUGUUGUGUUAUUAGUUGUAACAUAUUGUGUUGGCAAAAUAGCUUCAACACAAUAGCAAUAAAAAAAACAGAUGCACAUUUGCUGCUAUAGUGCAACCUAUUCCUUUUCUUUUCUUAUUUGGCCGAUCUGGUGUUAUUGCCUUCAAAAGAAAUAUGCACAUACCAUUUGUGGAGAAAAGAUCGGAGACGAAGUGGUUAAUGUUGAAAAAGCUGGAGGUGGAGGUAUAACAAUACAUGGAAUCUCAGGCCCUUGAAUUCCUUGAAGGGAUGUGAUGGUCUGACAUUUUUCAUACAAAUUAGAAAGCUAUAUCGAAUGGCUUUACACACCAUAAGAAACUUAUGCAGACCACCAAGGCUACUCUCCACUGUAGUCUGGACAGAAUUGUUAGCACACCAUUUGGCUUUCUCACAUUUUUUCCUCAAUGUAUGUAAUUCUAACCAGUGCCUAGCGCAAGAAAAUAGAUAUAAGUUAAACACUACACCCCAAGGUAUCUCAUAGUGUAAUAUGUCAAAUACCUCAAGGUGUGCUAAACAGUAAUGCGUGGAUUAAAUGAUAACUCACAUGUGCCCAUCAGGUCUAAUCAAUGGACGUUUAGACUCAUUUGCAAUAGGCGCAGUAGAAGUUCUGCAAAACCUCUUAAGAAUUUGGGGGGUGGAAGCCACUCGUCAUCCUGUAAAAUUGAAUUCAGAUGCAUUAGUAAGGUCCACAAAAACCAUAGUUUCAAAUCGCGGGCGAAAAGACCGCUAUCGCGGCGCUAUCCCUGCAUGAAAUCAGCCCCGCGAUUUGUUUCCUUACCAGAAUCACGGGAGAUCGCGCCGCAAUCGCCGGAGAUCGCGCUGUUUCUUCAUUAAUUAUCGCGGCAAAUUUCCCUUCCGCGAUUCCGUUCGCCCGCGAUUUAAAUCUAUGACAAAAACACACAACUAAAAUUACACAUUUCUGAGUAGGGUUCAGUAUAGCAGCAGAAUAUAUGUGCAUAAAGUCAUAAAAUAACUAGAGAUAAAUAUAACCACCAGAGAUACAAUUGUAAGUUCAACACGAAGGGAAACAACCAGAAAAUCAACAAUGUCCAGAUUUAAAAAUACAUGGAGGAAAAUGUCACCUCAGACAGAAGAAAACUAUUAGAAAUCAUCAAUCGCUUAUGAGAUAAUUGCAAGUCCACUCCAUCUUCUGAUUCUGUAUUAGACAAGGUUAAAGAAAAAGUUUUCCAGAAUUAUGUCAAGCACAUUUCAGAUCGAAGUACUCUGCACAUGCUCGCAAGUUAGCCUAUUUUUAGAUCUACCAGUAGGUUCACUUCCCUUAAUUAACUAAUGAAAUCUGAUUAGAAAUGUGAUGGAACAUGGCCAUGUGAGCUCACCUAAUUAAGCCUUGGUUCUGAUUUCUGAAGUUGAAGCACACGUCUACAGCUUCGGCAGGUUGGUCUCAGUCGUGGGCGGCAGGGUAGGAUCCACCGAGGGCGGCAGGCUAACUAGGAUCCAUCGAGGGCGGCAGGGUCGGGCGAGCAUCGCAGUGG